AUCCAGCUGACGAGUCCCGAAUGAGGUGAAACGCGCGUCCUGGAU
rfam:Schistosoma curassoni strain Dakar, Senegal genome assembly, scaffold: SCTD_scaffold0001192